AGCUAGUUGGUAAGGUAAUGGCUUACCAAGGCAAAGACGGGUAGGGGGCGUGAGAGCGUGACCCCCCACACUGGUACUGAAACACGGACCAGAUACCUACGGGUAGCAGCAGCAAGGAAUAUUGUCCAAUGGACGAAAGUCUGAGACAGCAACACCGCGUGGAGGACGAAGGUCUUCGGAUUGUAAACUCCUUUUCUGGGGGAAGAGAACGGACGGUACCCCAGGAAUAAGGCCCGGCUAACUACGUGCCAGCAGCCGCGGUAAAACGUAGGGGUCGAGCGUUAUCCGGAUUUACUGGGCGUAAAGAGCAUGUAGGCGGUUGCUUAAGUCGGACGUGAAAGCUCCUGGCUCAACUAGGAGAGGUCGUUCGAAACUAAGUAACUCGAGGAUGGUAGAGGAUAGUGGAAUUCCAGGUGUAGUGGUGAAAUGCGUAGAUAUCUGGAGGAACACCAGUGGCGAAGGCGGCUAUCUGGGCCAUUCCUGACGCUGAGAUGCGAAAGCUAGGGGAGAGAACGGGAUUCGAAACCCCGGUAUUCCUAGCCGUAAGCGAUGUCAACUAGGUGUAGGAGGUAUUGACCCCUUCUGUGCUGCAGCAAACGCGUUAAGUUGACCGCCUGGGGACUACGGCCGCAAGGCUAAAACUCAAAGGAAUUGACGGGGACCCGCACAAGCAGCGGAGCGUGUGGUUUAAUUCGAGACUACGCGAAGAACCUUACCAGGGUUUGACAUGACGGUAGUAGGGAUCCGAAAGGUGACCGACCCUUCGGGGAGCCGCCACAGGUGCUGCAUGGCUGUCGUCAGCUCGUGCCGUGAGGUGUUAGGUUAAGUCCUGUAACGAGCGCAACCCACGUCGUUAGUUAUACGUGUCUAACGAGACUGCCGGUGAUAAGCCGGAGGAAGGUGUGGAUGACGUCAAGUCAGCAUGGCCUUUAUAUCCUGGGCUACACACACGCUACAAUGGCCGGUACAAUGGGCAGCGAAACCGCGAGGUGGAGCCAAUCCUCUAAAGCCGGUCUCAGUUCGGAUUGUAGGCUGCAACUCGCCUGCAUGAAGUCGGAGUUGCUAGUAAACGCGCGUCAGCAACAGUGCGUUGAAUACGUUCCCGGGUCUUGUACACACCGCCCGUCACGUCAUGGAAGUUGGCAACGCCUGAAGUCAGUGAGCUAACCCUAACGGGAGGCAGCUGCCCAAGGCGGGGUCGGUAACUGGGACGAAGUCGUAACAAGGUAGCUGUAGCGGAAGCUUCC
rnacentral:rRNA from 1 species